rnacentral:lncRNA from 10 species
UGAACUAAUUUGCAUUCCCACCAACAGUGCAUAAGUGUUGCUUUUUCUCUACAACCUUGCCAGCAUCUGUUAGUUUUUGACUUUUUAAUAAUAACAGCCAUUCUGAGUGAUAUGAGAUAUCUCAUUGUGGUUUUCAUUUGCAUUUCUCUAAUGAUUAGUGAUGUUGAGCAUUUUUUCAUAUUCCUCUUUGUGACGUGUAUGUCUUCAUUUGAGAAAUGUCUGUUCAUGUUCUUUGUCUGCUUUUUUAUGGGGUUGUUUGUUUCUUUGUAAAUUUGUUUAAGUUUCUUAUAUAUUCUGGAUAUUAGACACUUGUCAGAUGCAUAGUUUGCAAAUAUUUUCUUACAUUUUUGUAGGUUGUCUGUUUGCUCUGCUGUUAGUUUCUUUUGCUGUGCAGAAGCUCUUUAGUUAUUAGGUCCCAUUUGCUAUUUUUCAUUUUUGUUGCAAUUGCUUCUGGCAUGUUUGUUAUGAAGUCUUUCCUAUGUCUGGAAUGGUGUUUCCUAGGUUAUCUUUUAUAAAAUCAACAAAAACAAGCAAUGGGAAAAGGAAUCCCUUUUCAAUUAAUUUUGCUGGGAUAACUGGGUAGCCAUAUGCCGAAGAUUGAAACUAGACCCCUUUCUUACACCAUAUACAAAAAUUAACUCAAAAUGGAUUAAAUACAUACAUGUAAAGCCAAAAAUUUUACAGAACCGUGGAAGGUAACCUAGGAAAUACCAUUCAUAGGAGUAUGAGUUUUAUUUCUUUAGAAUUUGGCUGUAUCGACUGAAAGAAGUAGGACAGUGCUGUAGAAGAAAUUUAGGAUUCAAACAGGUAUGACACAACAGAGUUAUACAUAAUUUUAAAAUGAAGACACGACAUAUUGAGGUUAUAAACGGAAUGAAAGAUGAUGGUUUCACCUAAUAGCAUAUAUAAUGACUCUUGACUCAAAACUAACGGUUUGUUGCAACAUAAUUUUCCCUGAUACAAUUAAGUAUCACUUUGCACUAUGUUCAGAAAGCUUUCAGAAAUGCCUCAAGCACUCCAUGAUUAAAUUAAAUAUAUACUCAAAAUUCUAUUUUAAGAUAUUAAUAUAGUACUCUUAUGAGGAAAACAGAAAAGUAAAAAUUCACCAAUAAUGAAAAAAAUAUGUAAUUUUGAACUUGCAGUAAUAAUAAACACUAAAGUGUAACUAUUACUUUGGAUGCUAUUAGAUCCCAGAAAACAGCCUCCCCAGGAAAAACAGCAGGGAUAUCAGCCUAAUCUCAAGAAGUUAAAUUUAUGUUAAUCCUCUAACUGUGUACAAUAAUUACUUAGUUGACAAAAUUUUAUUUCCUAAUGAAAUGUUGUAAAAAGAAAUUGGCUUUGUAAAGUCAAGUUCUUAAUUACAGAGAUUCACAAAUGCAUUAUUUAUACGAGUACCAGUAGACUAUGUUACUAAUGUAAGUAACCUAUGAGCUUUUUCCUUAAUAGACAUAGAAUUAAAUAUUUCUCUUUUGAGGACUUGAACUAAUUACUUUAAAUCUCUAAUUUUCUCCUCAAACAAAUAGGAUUAAGAGUAUUAAUGCAUAAUUAGCAAUGUCAUAGUACGUGUUAUACAUAUAUUCAGGGUUUUAUACACAGCAAUUCAUCCUAUGUAAUAGCCUUCCAUACUAUAUAAAAUUGCGUAUAGUAUCGGACCCUAUAUACACUAUGCACAGAUGUAUUUUUCCUUCUUCACAAUUUCAAAGAUAGAAUAUUUGUUCUUACUGUAGAUUUUAGCAACCUUACCAUACAAUUAUUUUUAUUCCUUAUUAAGUCAAGAACCUUUAUCUUUCCACUUAAAGAAAGCACUUCAUGGCUUCUAUUUGGCACAUCCAAAUUGCCGACAUACUACCCUUGCACUCUGGGGCCACUAUUAAGUAAAAUAAGGCAUACUUGAACACAAGCACUAAGAUAAUGUGACAGUGAAACUGAUCACAGAGAGACGGCUGCUAAGUGACUAACAAGUGAGGAGUGGGUAGAGUGUGGAUCUCCUAGACAAAGGGAUGAUUCACAUCCCAGAUACGAUAGAACAGGAAGGUACAAGAUUUCCUCACACUACUCAGAAUGGCCUGCAAUUUGAAACUUCUGAAUAUUUUAUUUCUGGAAUUUUAUAUUUAAUAUUGUCAGACCACGUUUGACCUUGGGUAACUGAAAUUGUGGAAAAUGAAACCAUGGGUAAGGGGGCUACUCUAUUCAUUUUCACUUUUUCUAGUAAUUAUUCCUUAUCCAAAAUGCUUGGGACCAAAAGUCUUUCCAAUUUUGAAUAUUUUUGGAUUUCUUAAUAUUUGCAUUAUAUUUGCCAUUUGAGCAUCCUUAAUCCAAACAUCUGAAAUCCAAAAUGUUCCAAUGACCAUUUCCUUUGAGCAUCAUAUCAGAACUCAAAAAGUUUCAGAUUUUGUAGCUUUUUAGAUUUCAGAUGUUCAGAUUAGAGAUACUCAACCUGUAUUUCCCAUUAUUGUAUUUCAUUCUGUUUGUAUUAUUACAUGGAAUAAAUUUAAGUGGUAAUAUAAACUUGAAAAGAGAAUGACUCUUUUACCUUUAAUCAUUCCAGGUAGAUGGCCUGGAUAUUUUAAUGUUUCUAAUGUAUUUUUUUAAGUAUACUGGGUUAAGAUUUGUAUAGAAUUAUUUAUGUAUCUGGUAUAUCCUUUGUCAUUAGGAGGUUCAGAGCAUCAGCUGAAAAAGGUUUAAAUUAAAAACAAUAGCAACAAAAAGAAACAAGUAAUUUUAAAUUUUAAGUGUAGUCAUUUCAUUUCAGUAAGUUCUAUUUUAUUUAUUUCAGAUGAUACUAUGAUUAAAUAAUUUAUAAACCAAUUUUAUCCCUGAUCUAUUUUCUAAAAUAUUUUCACCUCUUGAAGUCUCAACUGAAUACAGAUUUUUGUUCUAUGUUAUAUUGGUUUGAUAAAAAUUCAAAAAGUAUUGAUGAUGUACAUUGCUUAAUCUUAAGAAAAGCUAUUUUAAGAACAAAGAUGUGUUAGUGAGCAUAAUGACUAAAAAAUUGAAAUUUAGUCAUGUAGAAGUAAGGAAGUAAAGAUUAACCCCAAUGAAGAAAUAAAAACAUGUCCAGUGAUUCAACAAACCACCAAUAAUUGAAACGAAUAAAGCCAGCUGAAAGGCUAACAGAAAAUUAUAUUUUUCCUGGGCUGUGCUGCAGCUGUGAAGUACCAUAAAAAAUGCUGUUUUUUGAGGGAGACUGUUGCUUUAUUUCUCAAUGAAAAUAUUUGUUUUCUAAACUCAUAGAUUAUUACAAUCUUUGUUAUUUGAUAUUGUAUUGGUAAAAUGUAUAUCAUUAUUACCUGCAGGAUCUAAGUCAGCUUGACACAGAGAGACAUCUCAAUUUAAAGCCCUGAUGAAGAGAUUUGGAUAAAUGAUUUCUGGACAUGGAGUUCCACAUUUACCUUAAUUUUGUAGUUUCCAAAGAAAGAGCACUUUGGGUUCAAUUUGCAUCUAGAGCCAAUGUUGACUUUGUUACACACAAGCCUGCUUUGUCUAUUUUAUUUUAGAACUGAAUAAUGAUAAACGAAGCUUCCUAUAGUACAUCUUUGCUGAUAGUUUAAAAAGUCCUCUUAAUUUUGUAAGGUGGCCUGACAGAACAUGAGCAACAUAUAAAAGAAUGUUGCCCAACAAAAUGUUGCCCCCAAAUUGGGCAACACAAAAAGCAGCAGUAAUCGUAGAUGUCCUGCUCUCACUUAUUUCACCAAUUAAUGGCAUUUGAUAGUUGCCAUACAGUUAAACAUGCUACAUGCCUCAUGUUUCUCUGUUUCAUAGUUUCCAGUAAAUAAAUACGACCAGGCCUGAGGAUUUACAAAUUUUGAUUUGGUGUGGCAGAAUCAAAGUUUAUAUGAGGAACAUACGAGAGGGUGCUCAGAAUGUAACUUUGUGGAGGGCUUGGAGAGGAGAUACUGAUUUCUAUAUUAAUAGGGCUUAAUGGAGAAGACACAUAUAUUGAGUAAGGCAAAGAGGCAAAUAGGAAGUGAGUUGAAAGACAUUCAGAAGAAAAAUGCAGAGGGAAUAAACAAAGAACAGAACCUAUGACACUUAGGUUUAUUCCCAUUUUGAACAACACAGGGCAUGUAAAAACUCAAAUAUGAUUGAUUGAUUGUAGAUACUAAAAAUUGCAAAAUAUAUUGAAAUUUUUAAGUUAAACUUUCAAAUGCAAUUUCUUUGUAUUAUGCAUGUACUUUGAAAAGUUGUUAAAAAAUUAAGCAUGAUAUGUUUUAAAGAAACAAAAAUAAGAGCUCUUCUAUCCUAGGUUUGGAGAGGAAAAAUAGAAGCUGCAGCCACUAUCCAAGAAUCAAGGUAUAAUACCUGUUGGCUACAUAACAGAGUGACUUUGCCCAAUGUUAUCAGUAUUUUAAUGAGGACCUCUAGCUUUCAUACUGUGUGAGUUAGGGAAAUGUAAGGGAUUAGAGUUUUGAAUGAAACUAUAGAGACCUUUGCCGAUAUAUGUACAUAUGUAUAUAUGAAUGCAUGCAUGUAUGUAUCUUUCUAUCUAUCAGUGAAUCUAUGUAUCUAUCUACCUAUCUAUCUGAUGAACUCUGGCUGUUGUAUUGGGAAUGCUUUCAUAGGAGCAAGAACAGUAAAUGGGUGAUAAGCUGCUUCUGAAUUGAACUAGGAAUGCAGAAAUGCAUGUGAUCAUAUGGUUCUGAGUAUACUUUGGAAAUUGAGGCAGCAUGAUUUUCUGACAGAUUGCAUAGGUUUUGGAAGACAAAAAGAAAAGUCAUGGAGGCCAAUGACUUUCAAAUGUGUAUUUCCACACAGACAUUUUUCUCCUGAACUUAGACUUACAUUUUAUAUGUAGAAAAACAUAAUUUGAAGAAUGAAAAUGAUGGUGUCAUUUAUGGACAAGAGUUUAAAAACCUAACCAAAGGCAAAAAAAAUCAAAAAUAAAUAUCUAACUCAUUUACGGUUAGAUUUAUGGAGGAGAGAAGGAAUAAAUGAAAGAGAUAUUCUUUAUUAUAUGAAUAUUUAAAAGUUAUCACUUUAUCUGAAUGAAGAAUGGAAUGCUACCAAUAUUCUCAUGAAGACACUAUCACUGUGAACAUUUCAUUGUAUUGCACACAUUAUUUCGAUAUUUUGUCUAUGUCUGUGUGCACAUUUAUAUUCAAAUGGCUAUAUCUGCACCUGCAUUAAGCAUGCCAAGAUGCCCACUACUUCAUAUUUUAUUUUUGAGACAGGGUUUCACUCUGUCACCCAGGUUAGAGUGCAGUGACACAAUCAUAACUCUCUGUAGCCUCGAACUCCUGGACUCAAGCAAUCCUCUCAUUUCAGCCUUCUGAGUAGCUGAGACUACAGGCACUGCCAUCAUGCCCAGCUAAUUAUUAUAUUUUUUGUAGAGACAUGGUCUCACAGUGUUGCCCAGACUGGUUUUUCACUCCUGGGCUCAAUCUAUCCUCUUUCCUUCGCCUCUCAAAGUGCUGGGAUUACAGGCAUGAGGCACCAUACCUGGCCCAUGUCAUUUAACAUGUUCAUAAGCAUUCUUUAGCUUGCAAUAUCUUUCUAUAUGAAAAUAUGCUAGUUGGAUUAAUCUUGCUUUAAAUAGAAAAUAUUUAAUUAUCAAAAUUGAUGUUCUUUACAUUCUACCAAAAUUUUAUGUGAAUUUACCACAAUUUAUUGUUAUUUCCUUGUAGGCUAAGAUUAAAUUGAUGAUAGAAACAUUUUAAGGUGUUUACUUACUCACUUCCAACAUGAAUGAGGGUGAAUAUGCCACUAAACCCUAUACUGGUUAUCUUUUUUAUAUUGUGUUUGCAAAAAAAAAUUUUUUUAGAUAGAUUCUCGCCAUGUCACCCAGGCUGGAGUGCAGUGGCAUUAUCUUGACUCACUGCAACCUCUGCUUCCCAGGUUCAAUAAAUUCUUGUGCCACAGUCUCCCAAGAAGCUGGGAUUAUAGGCAGGCACCACCAUGCCUGGCUAACUUUUGUAUUUUUGGUAGAGAAGGGGUUUCAUCAUGUUGGCCAGGCUGGUCUUGAACUCCUGGCCUCAGGUUCCAAGACAUUCUUAACUCGGGGACCAAAAGUAGUGGAAAACUGUGUCUACACUAUUAUCUAAGUUUUGAAUGAGAAAAUAUCCAACCAGAAUUUUCCACAAUGUCAUGGAAUAAUACAGCAGAGCAUAAAUAGAAGUAUUGAGUGCCUUAGAUAUAUGUGCUGAGACAGUCUGACAGUGUGCCUUCAUUAUCUGACUGGACAUGCAAAGCAGUCAUAUAUACUUUUUCUGUGCAGUUGAAAGCAAAGCAGUCUUGAUUGAUAGGUGUGUGACCUGAGGUUGUCUUUUGAUCAUGUCAACUGGAUUAUUAAUAAUAAUUGGAUUAUUAUCAUAGACCAAACUACUGGAGAUCAGAAAAAAAUGGAGAUGUUUCCAGACAGGCCAGAAUAGAAGGGAUGAGAUAAGUUUAGUGGAGAAUUGGACAAAAGUAGAAUGAGAUGUUUCCAGAUAGGCCAGAAUAGAAGGGAUAAGAUAAGUUUAGUGGAGAAUUGGACGAAAGUAGAAUGAACAAUAUACAUCCCUUAGAAAAUCAGUUACUUAGGUGACUCACAAGACUUAAAUUUUUUUUUCCAAUUCUAUAAUAAACAUAAGCUACUGGAACUCACUAUUAACCAAAUGAGAAAUGGGGAGAGUGAGAGCACUAAUUUGAUUAGGUUUUCCUUGAAUUCAGUAGGAAAAAAAAAAAAAAUGACUUAAUUAAAUUUGACUCAAUAAACCUAGCCCAAAAGUGGCUCAAAGUAGAAACAUGUUUGAAGUAUUGAAAAACAGUUACAUAUUUAUAAACAUAUAUGCAUUUAAAUAUGUAAUCAUUUAUACGUGUACAUAAAUAGUUGGAUAUAUUAUAUAUAUUUAUGUUUAUUUAUAUGUGUGUAUGUAUGUAAAUAUAACUGUUAUGUAUAUAUGUAUAUUCAAUAGUCACCCAUCUCCAAGACACCCAGUGUAUCCCUAAAACCACAGAGAGCAUCAACUCUACACAUUCUAUAUUUCUUCUUACAUAUACAUACCUAUGAUAAAUUAAAUUUAUAAAUUAGGCACAGUAAGUUAUUUUAAAAAACUAAAAAUAGAACAAUUAUAAAAAUAUACCGUAAUAAAAGUUAUUUUAAUGUGAUUUCUUUCUCUCUCGCUAUUUUUCUCAGAAAAUAUCUUAAUAUCUUCAGACCGUGGCUGAGCAUGGGUAACUGAAACCGUGCAAAGCAAAAACAUGGAGAAGAGGGGACUGCUGCAAAUACACAUAUAUAACCAACUGAUCUCCAGGGAUCUUCUUGUCAUCUAGAAUCAUAGAAUACAAGAGGUCCAGCCAAAUUACACAAUCACAUCGAAAGGCUUUCUUUGCUUUAUGUAUGCUAAUAUUCUGCUUGUCAAAGCAAGUCAUGAAGAUAAUAUCAACAUCAAUGGACAACUUUUUGAGUCAUGUGUUGCUGCAAGAGAAUAUCACAUGAUGGAUAAUUUAUAAAGAAAAGUUUAUAUCACGGUUCCGGAGGCUGCGAAGUUCAUUGUCAAGGUGUGGGCACCUAGUGAGGGCCUUCUUGCUGUGUCAAUCAUGACAGAUAGUGAGAUGAGGGGUGUGUGUGUGUGUGUGUGUGUGUGUGUGUGUGUGUGUGUAUAGAGAGAGAGAGGGGUAUCAAACUCAUAGCCUCAAGCCCUUUUUGUAAUUGGCAUUAACCCAUUCAUGAGAGUGACACCCUCAUGACCUAAAUACCUCUCAAUAGGCCCCACCUCCCAACACUGCUGCAUUAGGGAUUAAGUUUCCAACAAAUGAACUUUGGGAGACACAUUCAAUCCUAGCAUCUGGGAAUAAAAAUAUUCUCUACCUAGGGCCCAAAUUAGGACAAAGCCAGUAAGGUAAAGUUGGGUAAGUGCAGGGUGCAAUCUGGUUUUGUUUAGAAUUUUGAUGUUUUUG